UGUUUAUACUAUGUGGCUGUUUGAAUGAGCUCAAAGCAGAUUAAUAAAUUGGGUAAACUUCGAAUACCACCCCUGUAAUUUUGCACUUUCUUAUUUUAGUACUCUAUAGUUUAAAGUAUAUCAAGUUAGUGUCAUAUGGUUUCAUUUUUAUCUUUUCAUUAAUUUUUCCGUUAAUAUUUUGUUAAAUUAUAUACAAAAAAUUUCAGAUACCCCACCUAGAUUUAUCAAAUAUUCAUUUUAGUACCCUUUAGUUUUAACUUUGUCAUUGAUUUAACGAAAAAAUUUAGUGGAAUCGAUAAUAAAAAGAUAAAAAUGAAACCGCAGGACACUAAAUUAAUACACUUUAAACGACAGAGUAUUAAAGUGAGAAAAUGUAAAACUACAGGAGUGGCAUUUGAAGUUUACCCUUAUAAUUUAUUGUAUUGUAUAGUAAAACUAUAAGAUAU
rnacentral:lncRNA from 1 species